UACGUAGGCAGCAAGCGUUGUUCGGAGUUACUGGGCGUAAAGGGUGCGUAGGCGGUUGUUUAAGUUUGGUGUGAAAUCUCCCGGCUCAACUGGGAGGGUGCGCCGAAUACUGAAUGACUAGAGUGCGGGAGAGGAUAGUGGAAUUCCUGGUGUAGCGGUGAAAUGCGUAGAUAUCCGGAAGAACACCGAUGGCGAAGGCAACCACCUGGGCCUGCAUUGACGCUGAGGUACGAAAGCGUGGGGGGCAAACAGG
rnacentral:rRNA from 1 species